AAAAAUUAUUUGUUUUGGAGAAGAAGACCGUGUUAUUUUUUUAAUUCUCACCCUUACAUAUACGAAGUGUGCAGAAUAAUUUGUAAGACGGCAAGAGUGAUCAAAUGUUUGUAUUUUCCUCACUUUAAUUUCUGGCAGGCAACUAAAUCUCGGAAAAGUUCUUGAAUUUGGAAGAGUUUGCUUGAGGGGAGAGAUGUGCUAAAGCAAGGCUUCCAGUAUAAUAUUGGUGAUGGGCAGAGUACUCUGAUUUGGGAAGAUCCUUGGGUUCCAAACCUCCUGGGUUUUAAAGUAUCUAGACCUGCCCAUUG
rnacentral:misc_RNA from 1 species